rnacentral:rRNA from 1 species
AUACGUAGGGUGCAAGCGUUAAUCGGAAUUACUGGGCGUAAAGCGUGCGCAGGCGGUUUUGUAAGACAGUGGUGAAAUCCCCGGGCUCAACCUGGGAACUGCCAUUGUGACUGCAAGGCUGGAGUGCGGCAGAGGGGGAUGGGAUUCCGCGUGUAGCAGUGAAAUGCGUAGAUAUGCGGAGGAACACCGAUGGCGAAGGCAAUCCCCUGGGCCUGCACUGACGCUCAUGCACGAAAGCGUGGGGAGCAAACAGGAUUAGAUACCCUGGUAGUCCACGCCCUAAACGAUGUCAACUGGUUGUUGGGGAUUUAUUUUCUCAGUAACGAAGCUAACGCGUGAAGUUGACCGCCUGGGGAGUACGGCCGCAAGGUUAAAACUCAAAUGAAUUGACGGGG